AGUGAACGCUGGCGGUAGGCCUAACACAUGCAAGUCGAACGGCAGCACAGUAAGAGCUUGCUCUUACGGUUGGCGAGUGGCGGACGGGUGAGGAAUACAUCGGAAUCUACUUUUUCGUGGGGGAUAACGUAGGGAAACUUACGCUAAUACCGCAUACGACCUACGGGUGAAAGCAGGGGAUCUUCGGACCUUGCGCGAUUGUAUGAGCCGAUGUCGGAUUAGCUAGUUGGCGGGGUAAAGGCCCACCAAGGCGACGAUCCGUAGCUGGUCUGAGAGGAUGAUCAGCCACACUGGAACUGAGACACGGUCCAGACUCCUACGGGAGGCAGCAGUGGGGAAUAUUGGACAAUGGGCGCAAGCCUGAUCCAGCCAUACCGCGUGGGUGAAGAAGGCCUUCGGGUUGUAAAGCCCUUUUGUUGGGAAAGAAAAGCAGCAGGUGAAUACCCCGCUGUUCUGACGGUACCCAAAGAAUAAGCACCGGCUAACUUCGUG
rnacentral:rRNA from 1 species